UAUCCACAUACAGAUACAGAAAUGGUC
rnacentral:piRNA from 1 species